rnacentral:rRNA from 1 species
GACGAACGCUGGCGGCGUGCUUAACACAUGCAAGUCGAACGGAAAGGCCCUGCUUGCAGGGUACUCGAGUGACGAACGGGCGAGUAACACGUGGGUGAUCUGCCCUGCACUUCGGGAUAAGCCUGGGAAACUGGGUCUAAUACCGGAUAGGAGCUAUUUUUAGUGUGAUGGUUGGAAAGUUUUUUCGGUGUAGGAUGAGCUCGCGGCCUAUCAGCUUGUUGGUGGGGUAAUGGCCUACCAAGGCGGCGACGGGUAGCCGGCCUGAGAGGGUGGACGGCCACAUUGGGACUGAGAUACGGCCCAGACUCCUACGGGAGGCAGCAGUGGGGAAUAUUGCACAAUGGGCGCAAGCCUGAUGCAGCGACGCCGCGUGGGGGAUGACGGCCUUCGGGUUGUAAACUCCUUUCGCUAGGGACGAAGCUUUUUGUGACGGUACCUAGAUAAGAAGCACCGGCUAACUACGUG